GCCUUCGUGGUGUAAUGGUCAGCACAGACUGAGCCGGUAUUUCAGAGGUCCGUGGUUCGAUUCCCGGCGAAGGAA
rnacentral:tRNA from 1 species